ensembl:lncRNA
CUUACAGAAGUAGCUGCUGGGCAGUUGCAAUUUUAGAACAGAGUUCCUUUAUAUACGAAUGCUUUUUUUUUUUAAUGCUUGUUCUAAAGUGGAUCUGAUCUCGUGAGGUAAGGGAGAGACUUGCUUCUGAAGCAGAAAGGGUAGCAAACAGGUAGAUAAGAAAUUAAUGCAGAAGCACACAAUUACAAACUUGCACAACUCCAGCAAGCACGUUCACAAGAGCAUUAUGCUGACAUCAUAAAAACAUUGGCAGAAGGCACGGUUUGGUCUGAGAGGAAACACAAGUCAGCUCAAAUGGAAGCAGGGCCUUGGACUGCCAACAGAUGCCCUGCUGCCAAAUGGAGCUUGGAGGAGAAUUAAAGCUUGGUUCUUGGUGGUUUGUAACCACAGAAGAUCUGACAACGGCUUCUGACAGAGUGCUGCUCUAACCCCGGUGUCCUGGCUGCUUUCCAGCUGCUAGAAGUGCCUCAGCAACUCUUGAAUGCAACUGUAUGAGCAACACGACUACUGCAUGCUCAGCGCAGGCAGAAGAAGACUUCUGCUUCACAAUAGUUAAACAAGUCAAGGACGUAAUUCACAUCCUUUUAAGGUUGGAAGUGAAAAACAGACUACAGAAUGACAGGAGAAAGGAAAAUGCUGGUUUUCAUGGCUUCAUCACUGUUGAACAGAGCAGCCUUAGGUUGGGUCAUUUCUUUGUGCCGGAGGACUUUUCAAAGGAUGCUGAAGCUUUCAUACUACACGGCUUACAGUGCAGAUGGAACAGGACGUGUCGUUAUGUUUACUGUGUGUGGCUGUCAGUGCUUAGCAGUAAGGUGUGCUUGGUUAUUAGCAAUGUCUGGUUCCUGUAUCACGAACCCUACGCCUGCAGCUUUUCUCCUGCCUUUGCCUCUCAGCUGUGAAUUACUGCACUGGUGUGUCUGUGCUCAGGACUACCCAGAAGGAAGCACACAAGGCCCAUUUCUGGACUUCAUGAGCUACAAUGUUCGGUGCUGCACAGGUGAGCAUGGUGUGGACAGCAGCACAUGGAUGGGCAGGUCAGGGAAGUACCACAGGGAAGAGCACAGCAAUGCCUUCGAUUCCCCCAGGCUCUUCUCAUAACAUCCUAUGCAAAAUGUCUGCAACAUGGGGAUGUUGAGCAUAGCAAAAGCACAAGCACUAGCACUGCCAGUGGAAACACUUAUCUGGAAAGAAUGUUCUUCAUUGCACCAUUGGGGAAAUUAAAUCAAAUUAAGCCGUUUCAUUUGUUGGGGUAGGAGAUUAUUCCUCAUUGUGCCAGCAAAUUCUUUACUUGCCUCCAUAAGGAAUUCAUCCAAAGUCUGAAUUUUGAAUGGCUCCAAAAUAAAACUAAUUUAAGCAGUGUCAAACGCUUACUGUCAUUCCUUCCUUAUCACUCGGAAGUGAAUCCCUUCAUUUUUCUCUCUCAUAACUUAUGAACUGCAGCACUUAUAUCUAAAUUUAGGGGGGAUGCUGUUUUGUUAUAGUGUGGACUUUACCUUGUAUAUUAACAUCUGCUUCAAAGAGAAUGUACGCACAAGCUCAGGAGAACCAACUGAUAUUUCUUUCAGCCUGAUGGUAGUCCAGGUGGAAGACGUUGCCUCUGGUAGGCUGUAUGUGGUGUGGAAGCAAAGAGCAUGGUAGUCUGGGUAGGCUGGGGGAGCAUUUGGGUCUAUUAGAGCAGAGCUGGUGUUUGUUGUGCAGUGCGCUCCAGAGUGCUUAAUGCAUGGGUCCAUCUUAACACUGAGCUAAGAGGGGGUAGUGUCUGCUAAAUAUAAGGCAGGUUUGAUGAAGUAGAUCCUUUAUUUUGGCAGUAGGCAAAGUAGUGCCAAUGGAAACGGUGCAAACCUGGCCGCAAUGUGUCUGCCCCGGCAGUCACAAGGAAGGGUAGGUAUGCCAGGCAGCACCUGAGUGUGUUCCACAGCCAGCACCGGUCUGCCAAACCCAAGGUAGCAACAGCAGUGAUGCACAGGAGGAAGGAAGUGAUGGUUUAUCACAUUACACAGACCAGCCUGCACACAGCAUGGGGCACAGGGAUGCCCACAUGCCUGUUUGGAAGCUGCCUCCUCCAGAGCAGAGCAGGAGGGCUGGAGGGGAGGCACUGCAGGAGAGUGGCU